rnacentral:pre_miRNA from 1 species
CGAAGAAGACGACAUGGCGUGAUAUUGGCUUGGCUCAUCUCGCGCAAGUAAUCUUUUUCGAUUGCAGAUUGCGAGGUGAGCCGAACCAAUAUCACUCAUGUACUCUUCAUU